GAGUAAUUUCUAUCCGGUUGG
rnacentral:miRNA from 1 species